CUAUCUCUCGGGCUCAUCACC
rnacentral:misc_RNA from 1 species